rnacentral:rRNA from 2 species
CGGCGAGUGAAGCGGGAACAGCUCAAAUUUGAAAUCUGGCCCUCGGGUCCGAGUUGUAAUUUGUAGAGGAUGCUUUUGGUGCGGUGCCUUCCGAGUUCCCUGGAACGGGACGCCUUAGAGGGUGAGAGCCCCGUACGGUUGGACGCCUAGCCUCUGUAAAGCUCCUUCGACGAGUCGAGUAGUUUGGGAAUGCUGCUCUAAAUGGGAGGUAUAUUUCUUCUAAAGCUAAAUACUGGCCAGAGACCGAUAGCGCACAAGUAGAGUGAUCGAAAGAUGAAAAGCACUUUGAAAAGAGGGUUAAAUAGCACGUGAAAUUGUUGAAAGGGAAGCGUUUAUCACCAGACUUUUUCUAGGGGGAUCAUCCGGUGUUCUCACCGGUGCACUUCCCCUAGUUGAGGCCAGCAUCGGUUUUCGGAGGGGGAUAAAAGCUUCGGGAAUGUGACUCCCUCGGGAGUGUUAUAGCCCGUUGCAUAAUACCCUUCUGGGGACCGAGGUUCGCGCAUCUGCAAGGAUGCUGGCAUAAUGGUGAUCAACGACCCGUCUUGAAACACGGACCAAGGAGUCGAACAUUUAUGCGAGUGUUUGGGUGUCAAACCCUCACGCGUAAUGAAAGUGAACGGAGGUGAGAGCCCUUACGGGUGCAUCAUCGACCGAUCCUGAUGUCUUCGGAUGGAUUUGAGUAAGAGCAUAACUGUUCGGACCCGAAAGAUGGUGAACUAUGCGUGGAUAGGGUGAAGCCAGGAGAAAUCCUGGUGGAGGCUCGCAGCGGUUCUGACGUGCAAAUCGAUCGUCAAAUCUGCGCAUGGGGGCGAAAG